UCCCUGAUCAUCUAGUGGUUAGGAUUUGUUACUUUCACUGCUGUGGCCCAGGUUCAAUACCUGGUCUGGGAA
rnacentral:tRNA from 1 species